UACGUAGGGAGCGAGCGUUGUCCGGAUUCAUUGGGCGUAAAGCGCGCGCAGGCGGUCCUUCAAGUCAGAGGUGAAAGCCCAGAGCUCAACUCUGGAAUGGCCUUUGAGACUAGAGGACUUGGGUACGGGAGAGGUGAGUGGAAUUCCGAGUGUAGAGGUGAAAUUCGUAGAUAUUCGGAAGAACACCAGUGGCGAAGGCGGCUCACUGGCCCGUUACCGACGCUCAGGCGCGACAGCGUGGGGAGCAAACAGG
rnacentral:rRNA from 1 species